rnacentral:rRNA from 1 species
UACAGAGGGUGCAAGCGUUAAUCGGAUUUACUGGGCGUAAAGCGUGCGUAGGUGGUUCAGUAUGUCGGUCGUGAAAUCCCCGGGCUUAACCUGGGAACUGCGGCCGAAACUGCUGGGCUAGAGUGUGGUAGAGGGCGGUGGAAUUCCGGGUGUAGCGGUGAAAUGCGUAGAUAUCCGGAGGAACAUCGAUGGCGAAGGCAGCCGCCUGGGCCACAACUGACACUGAGGUACGAAAGCGUGGGGAGCAAACAGG